GGUCGAGCCCCGCGAUGCCACCGGACCCCCGACCCGGUCGCGUCGCGGGGCCUUCCC
rnacentral:sRNA from 1 species